rnacentral:SRP_RNA from 2 species
GCCGGGCAUGGUGGUGCAUGCCUGUAGUCCUGGCUACUUGGGAGGCUGAGGCAGGAGAAUCGCUUGAACCCAGGAGGUGGAGGUUGCAGUGAGCCGAGAUCAUGCUACUGCACUUCAGCCUGGGCAACAGAGUGAGACUCUGUCUCAA